rnacentral:rRNA from 1 species
UACGGAGGGUGCAAGCGUUAUCCGGAUUCACUGGGUUUAAAGGGUGCGUAGGAGGGCAGGUAAGUCAGUGGUGAAAUCCCCGAGCUUAACUUGGGAACUGCCGUUGAUACUAUCUGUCUUGAAUGUUGUGGAGGUAAGCGGAAUAUGUCAUGUAGCGGUGAAAUGCUUAGAUAUGACAUAGAACACCAAUUGCGAAGGCAGCUUGCUACACAAUUAUUGACUCUGAUGCACGAAAGCGUGGGGAGCAAACAGG